rnacentral:rRNA from 1 species
GGGAUAACUACUGGAAACGGUAGCUAAUACCGCAUAACGUCGCAAGACCAAAGAGGGGACCUUCAGGCCUCUUGCCAUCGGAUGUGCCCAGAUGGGAUUAGCUUGUUGGUGGGGUAACGGCUCACCAAGGCGACGAUCCCUAGCUGGUCUGAGAGGAUGACCAGCCACACUGGAACUGAGACACGGUCCAGACUCCUACGGGAGGCAGCAGUGGGGAAUAUUGCACAAUGGGCGCAAGCCUGAUGCAGCCAUGCCGCGUGUAUGAAGAAGGCCUUCGGGUUGUAAAGUACUUUCAGCGGGGAGGAAGGGAGUAAAGUUAAUACCUUUGCUCAUUGACGUUACCCGCAGAAGAAGCACCGGCUAACUCCGUGCCAGCAGCCGCGGUAAUACGGAGGGCGCAAGCGUUAAUCGGAAUUACUGGGCGUAAAGCGCACGCAGGCGGUUUGUUAAGUCAGAUGUGAAAUCCCCGGGCUCAACCUGGGAACUGCAUCUGAUACUGGCAAGCUUGAGUCUCGUAGAGGGGGGUAGAAUUCCAGGUGUAGCGGUGAAAUGCGUAGAGAUCUGGAGGAAUACCGGUGGCGAAGGCGGCCCCCUGGACGAAGACUGACGCUCAGGUGCGAAAGCGUGGGGAGCAAACAGGAUUAGAUACCCU